UACGUAGGUGGCAAGCGUUGUCCGGAAUUAUUGGGCGUAAAGCGCGCGCAGGCGGUCCUUUAAGUCUGAUGUGAAAGCCCUCGGCUCAACCGUGGAGGGUCAUUGGAAACUGGGGGACUUGAGUACAGAAGAGAAGAGUGGAAUUCCACGUGUAGCGGUGAAAUGCGUAGAGAUGUGGAGGAACACCAGUGGCGAAGGCGACUCUUUGGUCUGUAACUGACGCUGAGGCGCGAAAGCGUGGGGAGCAAACAGG
rnacentral:rRNA from 1 species